AACCAUAGAAACCUGCGGAGUACCUGCGGAGGGAUCAUGAAUGAAAAUUUCACCCUCAGGGGGGGCAAGGGGAGAGGGGGGAUUGUCUCACUUUCUCCUUGCCUUUUCUGAGCAAACAAACACACAAGACUAGGUAUAUAAGGAAGCCGCAGCCGUGGUUUUAUGUUAUGGGGGGGGGGGCUUGGCUAGAAACAAAAGUUCUUGGCUGAUAAGUAGCUUGCUGAUUUGGAGUGGAGUUAC
rnacentral:misc_RNA from 1 species